CUCCUACGGGAGGCAGCAGUGGGGAAUAUUGCACAAUGGGCGCAAGCCUGAUGCAGCAACGCCGUGUGAGUGAAGAAGGUUUUCGGAUCGUAAAACUCUGUCCUAAGGGAAGAAACAAAUGACGGUACCUUAGGAGGAAGCCCCGGCUAACUACGUGCCAGCAGCCGCGGUAAUACGUAGGGGGCAAGCGUUAUCCGGAAUCACUGGGCGUAAAGGGUGCGUAGGCGGCUUAGCAAGCCAGGGGUGAAAGGCAUUGGCUCAACCAAUGUAAGCCUUUGGAACUGUUAGGCUUGAGUGCAGGAGAGGUAAGUGGAAUUCCUAGUGUAGAGGUGAAAUUCGUAGAUAUUAGGAGGAACACCAGUGGCGAAGGCGACUUACUGGACUGUAACUGACGCUGAUGCACGAAAGCGUGGGUAGCGAACAGGAUUAGAUACCCUGGUAG
rnacentral:rRNA from 1 species